rnacentral:scRNA from 1 species
CUGGAGGAUCAAGAAGGCAGUGUCUGAUGAAGCAAGACUCUGCUGAUACACUCCUCCUAGAGAAACAGGG